UACGAGGGGGGCGAGCGUUGUUCGGAAUUAUUGGGCGUAAAGGGCGCGUAGGCGGUGCGGUAAGUCACCUGUGAAAACUCUGGGCUCAACUCAGAGCCUGCAGGCGAAACUGCCGUGCUGGAGUGUGGGAGAGGUGCGUGGAAUUCCCGGUGUAGCGGUGAAAUGCGCAGAUAUCAGGAGGAACACCGGUGGCGAAGGCGGAUCUCUGGGCCAUUACUGACGCUGAGGAGCGAAAGCGUGGGGAGCGAACAGG
rnacentral:rRNA from 1 species